UUUUUUUCCAUAGCAUACUAUCCCAUGUUAUUAUCCACUCAAACCCGUCACACCAUAUAACCCCGUCCCGUGAAAUUAAACACAAAUUUGUCAUUUA
rnacentral:sRNA from 1 species